UACGGAGGAUGCGAGCGUUAUCCGGAUUCAUUGGGUUUAAAGGGUGCGCAGGCGGCGGAUUAAGUCAGCGGUGAAAGCCAGGGGCCCAACCCCGGAAGUGCCGUUGAUACUGGUACGCUGGAAUGCGGUCGAGGCGGGCAGAAUGUGGUGUGUAGCGGUGAAAUGCAUAGAUAUGCCACAGAACGCCGAUAGCGAAGGCAGCUCGCCAGUCCUGCAUUGACGCUCGGGCACGAAAGCGUGGGGAUCGAAC
rnacentral:rRNA from 1 species